rnacentral:lncRNA from 1 species
UGUCCUGUCCAGAGAGAAACUGAAGCUGCUCUUUCAAAAACAGCACUGUGAGCCAAAAACGGCACCUUGCCAUCCUGGAAGGGUGAGGACGCACUACCCACAAUCCCCUGCUGCAGUGUCCCGCUCUGAGCUGCUGCAGUGUCCCGCUCUGAGCUGCUGCUGCAGUGUCCCGCUCUGAGCUGCGCAGUGUCCGCUCUGAGCUGCUGCAGUGUCCCGCUCUGAGCUGCUUUGCUGCAGUGUUCCCGCUCUGAGCUGCUGCGUGUCCGCUCUGAGCUGCAGCAGUG